GCCUGGGAAGGAGCAUGGGCCCCACCCGACAGAGGCACUGUCCUGUGGCCUCUGCAUGGAGCCGGGUGGAUCCUCUGCAGAACCAUGCGCCACAACAGACACAAAGACUGGAACAGGCGGAAGAUCUUGUUGACAUCCAGAGUGCUCAAGAGUGUCCAAAACAGCUCACUGACAAGGUGCCAUUUGGGCUGGGACCCAAGAUGAGAGUGAACGAGCCUUGUGCCUGACCCUCUGAGCCACCUAUGAGGAAAUCUUCCAGAAAGAACAUUGUGGUUAUGGCUUUUAUCCAUC
rnacentral:lncRNA from 1 species